rnacentral:rRNA from 1 species
AUGGCCGCCGUGAAGAAGGUGGUGGUGAAGCUGGACCUGCACGACGACACGGGGAAGCGCAAGGCGAUCAAGGCCGUCUCCGCUCUAUGUGGUGACUUACUCCCCUUCUUUCUCUCCGAAUCUGUCCGGCAUUGUAUCUUGCUUGCUAGUGUUCUUGGCCUGCCUCGUCGUAAGCAUGCAUUCAUGGAGGUCGCUCACCCAUCAAUAUCUCAGUUUGGCGCUUCUGACGACGGCGACCGUGGCUUCCUUCCUUCCCCAGGUAUCGACGAGAUCGUCGUGGACACGAAGCACGAAAAGAUGACGGUCGUGGGCACGGUCGACCCCGUCCACGUCGUCGGCAAGCUGCGCAGGCGCUUCUGCACGGGGCAGGUGGUCUCCGUCGGCCCCGCCAAGGAGGAGGAGAAGAAGGAGGUCUCAGUCGGCCCGGCGAAGGAGGAAGAGAAGAAGAAGAAGAAGGACGACUGCGGGUGCGGGGACAAGAAGGACGGGAGCACGCUCGUCCCAGUGUGCCUGCCGUGCUACCCGCCGCCGCACCACCCGCACCCGUGCUACUUCGUGAACACCGAGGAGGGCCCCAACGCGUGCGCCAUCUGCUGA